rnacentral:rRNA from 1 species
GACGAACGCUGGCGGCAUGCUUAACACAUGCAAGUCGAACGAAGCGGCGGACGGCUGAGUAAUGCCUAGUAAUCUGCUUGGUAGUGGGGGGUAACGUCCGGUAACGGGCGCUAAUACCGCAUACUAUCAGAUGAGGCUAGGUCGGAUUAGCUAGUUGGUGGGGUAAAGGCCUACCAAGGCGACGAUCCGUACCUGGUCUGAGAGGAUGAUCAGUCACACUGGAACUGAGACACGGUCCAGACUCCUACGGGAGGCAGCAGUGGGGAAUAUUGGACAAUGGGCGAAAGCCUGAUCCAGCCAUGCCGCGUGUGUGAAGAAGGUCUUCGGAUUGUAAAGCACUUUAAGUUGGGAGGCGUUACCAACAGAAUAAGCACCGGCUAACUUCGUGCCAGCAGCCGCGGUAAUUC